GUACGUAGGGGGCCAGCGUUGCUCGGAAUUACUGGGCGUAAAGGGUUCGUAGGCGGUGCGGCAAGUUGGGAGUGAAAUCUCUGGGCUUAACUCAGGGGCUGCUUUCAAAACUGCCGCGCUCGAGUGCGAGAGAGGUCAGUGGAAUUGCAGGUGUAGCGGUGAAAUGCGUAGAUAUCUGCAGGAACACCCGUGGCGAAGGCGGCUGACUGGAUCGCAACUGACGCUGAGGAACGAAAGCUAGGGGAGCAAACAGG
rnacentral:rRNA from 1 species